rnacentral:misc_RNA from 2 species
GUAACAAGGUUUCCGUAGGUGAACCUGCGGAAGGAUCAUUACUGAGUGCGGGCUGCCUUCGGGCGCCCAACCUCCCACCCGUGACUACCUAACACUGUUGCUUCGGCGGGGAGCCCUCUCGGGGGCGAGCCGCCGGGGACUACUGAACUUCAUGCCUGAGAGUGAUGCAGUCUGAGUCUGAAUAUAAAAUCAGUCAAAACUUUCAACAAUGGAUCUCUUGGUUCCGGCAUCGAUGAAGAACGCAGCGAACUGCGAUAAGUAAUGUGAAUUGCAGAAUUCAGUGAAUCAUCGAGUCUUUGAACGCACAUUGCGCCCCCUGGCAUUCCGGGGGGCAUGCCUGUCCGAGCGUCAUUGCUGCCCAUCAAGCCCGGCUUGUGUGUUGGGUCGUCGUCCCCCCCGGGGGACGGGCCCGAAAGGCAGCGGCGGCACCGUGUCCGGUCCUCGAGCGUAUGGGGCUUUGUCACCCGCUCGAUUUAGGGCCGGCCGGGCGCCAGCCGACGUCCAACCAUUUUUCUUCAGGUUGACCUCGGAUCAGGUAGGGAUACCCGCUGAACUUAAGCAUAUCA